AACGAACGCUGGCGGCAUGCCUAACACAUGCAAGUCGAACGAAGCCUUCGGGCUUAGUGGCGCACGGGUGCGUAACACGUGGGAAUCUGCCCUUAGGUACGGAAUAACUCAGGGAAACUUGAGCUAAUACCGUAUGAUGUCUUCGGACCAAAGAUUUAUCGCCUAAGGAUGAGCCCGCGUCGGAUUAGCUAGUUGGUGGGGUAAAGGCCUACCAAGGCGACGAUCCGUAGCUGGUCUGAGAGGAUGAUCAGCCACACUGGGACUGAGACACGGCCCAGACGCCGACGGGAGGCAGCAGUGGGGAGUAUUGGACAAUGGGCGAAAGCCUGAUCCAGCAAUGCCGCGUGAGUGAAGAAGGCCUUCGGGUUGUAAAGCUCUUUUACCCGGGAAGAUAAUGACUGUACCGGGAGAAUAAGCCCCGGCUAACUCCGUGCCAGCAGCCGCCGUAA
rnacentral:rRNA from 1 species